GGAAAGACGAUAUCUAUCAGCAUCUGCGUGUACACAUUUUGGCCUAAACAUUGAGAAAUCGCAGUAAGAAGCUUCACUUGGUGGAUAAGAGCCUAAGAUUUAGACUCAAACAGAAAUCUCAUCUGAACUUUAUGUACGGAGGCGCUGGUUAAGACCUCUAUGCUUCAACACGUGUUAAAAUGUCCAAUUCCUCUUUGUUCCUCGUGAAGGAGAUAUGGAAUGGGGAUUCCAACCUGGUUGGACGUGCUCUGACAAGAACACUCAUAGCAACACAUAAAGCAUAAACCUGUUAAGGAUUUCACCUUUUAAGAAGUGACAGAGUAAUUACAGGACAACACGUCCUUCAUGAGC